UAGAGAAUGGUUCAAAUUGGUCAGAUAAAGAGCUGGGCACGCGCCAAUCUGAGGUCAGAGAGGGGGAGCAUGUUUCUGGGAAUGCUGAUGAUGACCUGGAUCUGGAUGUUUUUGAUUGGUACUAGGACGAUAAUCAUGAUGAAAAUCAGGCAAAAACGUUACGAGGUCUCGUUAUUCUGCCGAUGUACUAAGGACAUGUGUCCUGUCUCAGAUAUGUUUGCUCACGGGGUUACCGAGUUAUGGAUGCAAAUAUAAUAGUACAGUUGUUAGGCCGAAUACAAGCUUAUUUUGCUUUUGCCUUUACAAUGUACUGAACAGAGCGUCAGGGUAGCUGACUGAUUUGCAAAAUAGCCAGUCAUUGACAAUGCAGACUGAUUUGCAAGCUAUUUUUAUCAUGGAGAUGCUUUACUGAUUCAAAUAGGUCAUUUGAACUUGGCAUUGCUGCUGCAGUUGUUUGUUCUAGCAUAUAAAUUUGUAUUCUUAUAUUUAAUGGGCUGAUAUACUGCUUCAAUCACAUUUUCUACUGAUUUUUCACAUGUCCUGUUCUUUGUUGAUAUCUUUUCACAUCAGCUCCCAAUUUGGAGGUACCGACACUUUUGAUCCUUUUGGAGAGAACUAUGACAAUGACAGAAUAGAGAACCACGUGCUAGAAAACGCAACCAAACUGAAUUACUAUUCCUACAUGAACAAACAAACACGGGCCAAAUGGUCGAAAUCUGACACUGACUUGUUUUACCAGGUAUUUAGAUAUCAACUACUCGGGCAACUUUUUUCAUGUUGAAUAUAUCUUUUGCGUGCUGACGUCUUGGCUUGCCUAUGGGAAACUUCAACCUUUUAUCUGUUCUUGUCCAGGGUCUUCAACAAUUUGGUAGCAAUUUUGCAAUGAUACAGCAACUAUUCCCUGAUAAGUCCCGUGAUCAGGUGCGGCAAAAGUUUAAAACUGAGGAGAAAAAACAUCCAAUGCAAGUCCACGAUGCUAUACUUCAUCGCUCAAGAGGUUAGCAAUUGCUUUACAAGUGGUCCUGCCAAUGUCUGAUUUGUGAUUUUUCUUAACUUGAUGCUUCUGUUUUUACAACUUUACACAGAUACUUUGUAUUUGAAACAAGUAAUCAAACAGCUCAACAUCGAAGAUCUGCAGAGGGGCAUGAACAGUGCACAGAAACAAGAGGUUGGAUCAAUUGAAGGAGACACUGGAAAUGAGGUUUCUUUUUUCCUUUCUGAAACUAACACACACAGUGUUUAAUACUGAAUCUAUUUCAUUGGCAUUCUUUCUCUAUUCUUCUGUAAGCAUGUUUUGCAGGAUUUCAUCGAGGAGGAAGAGAAUGGUUCAAAUUGGUCAGAUAAAGAGCUGGGCACACGCCAAUCUGAGGCUAGAGAAGGGGAGCAUGUUUCUGGGAAUGCUGAUGAUGACCUGGAUCUGGAUGUUUUUGACUGGUACUAGGAUGAUAAUCAUGAUGAAAAUCAGGCAAAAACGAUACGGGUCUCGUUAUUCUGCCAAUGUGCUAAGGACAUGUCCUGUCUCAGAUAUGUUUGCUCACGGGAUCACCGAGUUAUGGAUGCAAAUAAAAUAGUACAGUUGUUAGGCCGAAUACAAUCUUAUUUUGCCUUUGCCUUUACAAUGUACUCCCUUUGUAAAGAAAUAUAAGAGCAUUUAAAUCACUAAGGUAGUG
rnacentral:lncRNA from 1 species